rnacentral:lncRNA from 1 species
UACCAUGCAAAAUACUCCCGAAGAAAGGGCUGUUGGGAUUGUUUUGAGAAAUCAUAGGCUAAUGCAAAGAGAGGCAACCACCCUUUCACCAAAAAUCCCUAUAUGCUAUGUAGCCUCAUUCUCUCCCUUCUGAGCAUUUGCUUUGUUCCACGUAAGCAGAAAAUUGCAGGUUCGACAUAUCCAAACAUUAAAUCAGGGAAAAGAUUCUCAUUAGAAAAUUGCAGGUUCGACAAAUCCAAACAUUAAAUCAGGGAAAAGAUUCUCAUCUCUCUUUUUUUUCAAGUAAAAAGGGCUCAGAUGUGAAUUAUGAUAAGGCAACGUCAUGGCUGCAAAACACCG